GUAUCUAAUGAUGCACUAAGCGCAAGCAAAACAAGUGAGGAGACACAACCAUGAUCAGAGGCCAAUAACAGAAUCUUGGAGGCAAAGGCGAGUUUUGAUAUUGACCUAGUUGGACAGCUGACAAGGGUCAAGGAGCACCUGGAUUAAAAUUUCAAGUUGGAGUUUCCAUCCAAUCAGAUUUCAGACAUUAUAUCACGGAGUGCUGUAAGGCCAGAAGAAAUGAACAGCAUGGGCUCAUUGUGGG